UUACAAUGAAGAGUUUGAUCCUGGCUCAGGAUGAACGCUAGCUACAGGCUUAACACAUGCAAGUCGAGGGGCAUCAGAUCGAAAGCUUGCUUUUGAUGCUGGCGACCGGCGCACGGGUGAGUAACGCGUAUCCAACCUUCCCUAUAGUAGAGAAUAGCCCGGCGAAAGUCGGAUUAAUGCUCUAUGUUGUAUUUAGAGGACAUCUGAAGAAUACCAAAGGUUUACCGCUAUAGGAUGGGGAUGCGUCUGAUUAGGUAGUAGGCGGGGUAACGGCCCACCUAGCCGACGAUCAGUAGGGGUUCUGAGAGGAAGGUCCCCCACAUUGGAACUGAGACACGGUCCAAACUCCUACGGGAGGCAGCAGUGAGGAAUAUUGGUCAAUGGACGGAAGUCUGAACCAGCCAAGUAGCGUGCAGGAUGACGGCCCUAUGGGUUGUAAACUGCUUUUAUAUAGGGAUAAAGUCGGGGACGUGUCCCCGUUUGUAGGUACUAUAUGAAUAAGGACCGGCUAAUUCCGUGCCAGCAGCCGCGGUAAUACGGAAGGUCCAGGCGUUAUCCGGAUUUAUUGGGUUUAAAGGGAGCGCAGGCUGAUGAUUAAGCGUGACGUGAAAUGUAGCCGCUCAACGGCUGAACUGCGUCGCGAACUGGUUAUCUUGAGUGAGUUCGAUGUUGGCGGAAUUCGUGGUGUAGCGGUGAAAUGCUUAGAUAUCACGAAGAACUCCGAUUGCGAAGGCAGCCAACAAGGCCUUUACUGACGCUAAAGCUCGAAGGUGCGGGUAUCGAACAGGAUUAGAUACCCUGGUAGUCCGCACGGUAAACGAUGGAUGCCCGCUGUUUGCGAUAUACUGUGAGCGGCCAAGAGAAAUCGUUAAGCAUCCCACCUGGGGAGUACGCCGGCAACGGUGAAACUCAAAGGAAUUGACGGGGGCCCGCACAAGCGGAGGAACAUGUGGUUUAAUUCGAUGAUACGCGAGGAACCUUACCCGGGCUUGAACUGCCAGCGAACGAUUCAGAGAUGAUGAGGUCCUUCGGGACGCUGGUGGAGGUGCUGCAUGGUUGUCGUCAGCUCGUGCCGUGAGGUGUCGGCUUAAGUGCCAUAACGAGCGCAACCCUUUUCUUUAGUUGCCAUCAGGUAAUGCUGGGCACUCUGGAGAUACUGCCACCGUAAGGUGUGAGGAAGGUGGGGAUGACGUCAAAUCAGCACGGCCCUUACGUCCGGGGCUACACACGUGUUACAAUGGGGGGUACAGAGAGUCGGAUAUACGCAAGUAUGUUCUAAUCCUUAAAGCCUUCCUCAGUUCGGAUUGGGGUCUGCAACCCGACCCCAUGAAGCUGGAUUCGCUAGUAAUCGCGCAUCAGCCAUGGCGCGGUGAAUACGUUCCCGGGCCUUGUACACACCGCCCGUCAAGCCAUGAAAGCCGGGGGCGCUUGAAGUCCGUGACCGCAAGGAUCGGCCUAGAGCGAAACUGGUAAUUGGGGCUAAGUCGUAACAAGGUAGCCGUACCGGAAGGUGCGGCUGGAACACCUCCUUUCU
rnacentral:rRNA from 1 species